CGUAGGGACCAAGCGUUGUUCGGAUUUACUGGGCGUAAAGGGCGCGUAGGCGGCGUGUUAAGUCAGCUGUGAAAUCUCCAAGCUUAACUUGGAACGGUCAGCUGAUACUGAUGUGCUAGAGUGCAGAAGGGGCAACCGGAAUUCUUGGUGUAGCGGUGAAAUGCGUAGAUAUCAAGAGGAACACCUGAGGUGAAGACGGGUUGCUGGGCUGACACUGACGCUGAGGCGCGAAAGCUAGGGGAGCAAACGGGAUUAGAUACCCCGGUAGUCCUAGCCCUAAACGAUGAAUACUUGGUGCCUGGAGUUUUUAUUCUCCGGGUGCCGUCGCUAACGUUUUAAGUAUUCCGCCUGGGGAGUACGCACGCAAGUGUG
rnacentral:rRNA from 1 species